rfam:Limnoraphis robusta CS-951 contig337, whole genome shotgun sequence.
AGGAGCCGGAUGAGGUGAAAGUCUCACGUCCGGUUCUGAAGACGAGUAGGAAAGGUGACUUUCUUGCUUAGUUUAAU